rnacentral:rRNA from 1 species
AGAGUUUGAUCCUGGCUCAGGAUGAACGCUAGCGAUAGGCUUAACACAUGCAAGUCGAGGGGCAGCAUGAUCUUAGCUUGCUAAGGUUGAUGGCGACCGGCGCACGGGUGCGUAACGCGUAUGCAACUUGCCUUACAGAGGGGGAUAACCCGUUGAAAGACGGACUAAAACCGCAUACACUUGUAUUAUUGCAUGAUAUUACAAGGAAAUAUUUAUAGCUGUAAGAUAGGCAUGCGUCCCAUUAGCUGGUUGGUGAGGUAACGGCUCACCAAGGCGACGAUGGGUAGGGGAACUGAGAGGUUUAUCCCCCACACUGGUACUGAGACACGGACCAGACUCCUACGGGAGGCAGCAGUGAGGAAUAUUGGUCAAUGGGCGAGAGCCUGAACCAGCCAAGUCGCGUGAAGGAUGACUGUCUUAUGGAUUGUAAACUUCUUUUGUAGGGGAAUAAAGAGCAGCACGUGUGCUGUAGUGAAUGUACCCUACGAAUAAGCAUCGGCUAACUCCGUGCCAGCAGCCGCGGUAAUACGGAGGAUGCGAGCGUUAUCCGGAUUUAUUGGGUUUAAAGGGUGCGUAGGUUGUUCGGUAAGUCAGCGGUGAAACCUGAACGCUCAACGUUCAGCCUGCCGUUGAAACUGCCGGGCUUGAGUUCAGUGGCGGCAGGCGGAAUUCGUGGUGUAGCGGUGAAAUGCAUAGAUAUCACGAGGAACUCCGAUUGCGAAGGCAGCUUGCCAUACUGCGACUGACACUGAAGCACGAAGGCGUGGGUAUCAAACAGGAUUAGAUACCCUGGUAGUCCACGCAGUAAACGAUGAUUACUAGGAGUUUGCGAUAUACCGUCAAGCUUCCACAGCGAAAGCGUUAAGUAAUCCACCUGGGGAGUACGCCGGCAACGGUGAAACUCAAAGGAAUUGACGGGGGCCC